rnacentral:rRNA from 1 species
GAGCGGGCGUAGCANUAUGUCAGCGGCAGACGGGUGAGUAACGCGUGGGAACGUACCUUUUGGUUCGGAACAACACAGGGAAACUUGUGCUAAUACCGGAUAAGCCCUUACGGGGAAAGAUUUAUCGCCGAAAGAUCGGCCCGCGUAUGAUUAGCUAGUUGGUGAGGUAACGGCUCACCAAGGCGACGAUCAGUAGCUGGUCUGAGAGGAUGAUCAGCCACAUUGGGACUGAGACACGGCCCAAACUCCUACGGGAGGCAGCAGUGGGGAAUAUUGGACAAUGGGCGCAAGCCUGAUCCAGCCAUGCCGCGUGAGUGAUGAAGGCCCUAGGGUUGUAAAGCUCUUUUGUGCGGGAAGAUAAUGACGGUACCGCAAGAAUAAGCCCCGGCUAACUUCGUGCCAGCAGCCGCGGUAAU